rnacentral:misc_RNA from 1 species
CCCCCCCCCCCACGACCUCAACCGCUCUGCCAGAGUCAACACCGUCCAGCUCCGGUCACCGGUUCAUGGAGGCGGCGGCGGUACUCCUUCGGCAGGCAAAGGAGCAAAGUUGGAGGCGACGAGGGUCCAGAUCCGGUCGCCGGCGUCCAUCCGGGGUUUGGAAGCGCCGCGGCCAGCUGGAGAUGUCGCCAGCCAACUCUCGGGCUUCCUCUCCUCCAUCCCCGAGAUCGUCGCUCGUGGAGAUCUCGCCAGCCAAUGCCCGGGUGAGAAACAGGUGCGUCUGCUCAUCAUCUUUGUGUAGGCACCCUUCGUUCUCCACGGAUGCUCGCGACACAAUCGAAGAAACUACUCUCCCUCUCCACGACCACGUCCUCCACUCCCCCCCCC